GAUGAACGCUGGCGGCGUGCUUAACACAUGCAAGUCGAACGGGAUCUAAAGAGUGCUUGCACUUUUUGGUGAGAGUGGCGAACGGGUGAGUAACACGUGAGUAACCUGUCCUUUUCUUUGGGAUAAGCAUUCGAAAGGGUGUUUAAUACCUUAUGUUCUGUCUGCCUCGCAUGGGGUGGGUGGGAAAGGCUUUGGCUGGAUUUGGGUGGGCUCGCGGUCUAUCAGCUUGUUGGUGGGGUGAUGGCUUACC
rnacentral:rRNA from 1 species